UGUGGUGAAUUUCCAACAGUAUACACCAGAUCCCAUCUUCUUCUUAAUCCAUGUCACUAUAGCAUUUAUACAUAAAGCAAAAUUUCAACUCAUAAGAAUGUUUUAAAAGCAAUGUCAUAUCAAUUGAAAGCAAAAUUUGAUGAGCACAUGAUUUUAUGGGCAUUAAAACGAAGAAAUGUUAAAUCCCCAAAUAAAUAAAAAAAUCUCCAUAUAAAUACAAAACUUAAAACGCGAGUAAAACAUAUAUUCACUAAGUUUCGUUGUUUAUGAGAUGUGCGAGAAGAAUCAUUCUGCGAUUCGAUAGAACAAGACAGUUUUUC
rnacentral:lncRNA from 1 species